AUUAAUAACCAGGGUCGAGAACCCCUAAAUUUAAU
rfam:Nonlabens marinus S1-08 DNA, nearly complete genome.